AUACGUAGGGGGCGAGCGUUGUCCGGAAUUAUUGGGCGUAAAGGGCGCGUAGGCGGCCUGUUAAGUCUGGAGUGAAAGUCCUGUUUUCAAGAUGGGAAUUGCUUUGGAUACUGAUGGGCUUGAGUGCAGGAGAGGUUAUCGGAAUUCCCGGUGUAGCGGUGAAAUGCGUAGAGAUCGGGAGGAACACCAGUGGCGAAGGCGGGUAACUGGACUGCAACUGACGCUGAGGCGCGAAAGUGUGGGGAGCAAACAGGAUUAGAUACCCUGGUAGUCCACACUGUAAACGAUGAAUGCUAGGUGUAAGAGGUAUCGACCCCUUUUGUGCCGGAGUUAACACAAUAAGCAUUCCGCCUGGGGAGUACGGCCGCAAGGUUGAAACUCAAAUGAAUUGACGGGG
rnacentral:rRNA from 1 species